AGAAUUCCAGGUGUAGCGGUGAAAUGCGUAGAGAUCUGGAGGAAUACCGGUGGCGAAGGCGGCCCCCUGGACAAAGACUGACGCUCAGGUGCGAAAGCGUGGGGAGCAAACAGGAUUAGAUACCCUGGUAGUCCACGCCGUAAACGAUGUCGAUUUGGAGGUUGUGCCCUUGAGGCGUGGCUUCCGGAGCUAACGCGUUAAAUCGACCGCCUGGGGAGUACGGCCGCAAGGUUAAAACUCAAAUGAAUUGACGGGGGCCCGCACAAGCGGUGGAGCAUGUGGUUUAAUUCGAUGCAACGCGAAGAACCUUACCUGGUCUUGACAUCCACAGAACUUUCCAGAGAUGGAUUGGUGCCUUCGGGAACUGUGAGACAGGUGCUGCAUGGCUGUCGUCAGCUCGUGUUGUGAAAUGUUGGGUUAAGUCCCGCAACGAGCGCAACCCUUAUCCUUUGUUGCCAGCGGUUAGGCCGGGAACUCAAAGGAGACUGCCAGUGAUAAACUGGAGGAAGGUGGGGAUGACGUCAAGUCAUCAUGGCCCUUACGACCAGGGCUACACACGUGCUACAAUGGCAUAUACAAAGAGAAGCGACCUCGCGAGAGCAAGCGGACCUCAUAAAGUAUGUCGUAGUCCGGAUUGGAGUCUGCAACUCGACUCCAUGAAGUCGGAAUCGCUAGUAAUCGUAGAUCAGAAUGCUACGGUGAAUACGUUCCCGGGCCUUGUACACACCGCCCGUCACACCAUGGGAGUGGGUUGCAAAAGAAGUAGGUAGCUUAACCUUCGGGAGGGCGCUUACCACUUUGUGAUUCAUGACUGGGGUGAAGUCGUAACAAGGUAACCGUAGGGGAACCUGCGGUUGGAUCACCUCCUUACCUUAAAGAA
rnacentral:rRNA from 1 species